CUUUCUGAAUGCAAUGUAUAGAAAGGAGAAUAUUCUCAAUACUUAACAGGAGCCUAGCCUUCAGGGUGUGAGAACUGUGCAGCCCCAAGUAAUAGGUUCACACAGCACCCCUGUACUGCAGGUUGUGCUAUGUAGCGUUGCCACAGCCCCUAGCUUGUGGAUUCUAUUAUCCUCCAGGUCAACCAGAGAGGAACUGAAUAUGGGCAGUGGAGGGGCACGCAAAGCUUAAUGUGACCUGAACCUGCUGCACACUGAGGAAAGCGGGAAGGAGUCCCUGCUUUCCCAAAAAC